GAUGAACGCUGGCGGCGUGCCUAAUACAUGCAAGUCGAGCGAACGGACGAGAAGCUUGCUUCUCUGAUGUUAGCGGCGGACGGGUGAGUAACACGUGGAUAACCUACCUAUAAGACUGGGAUAACUUCGGGAAACCGGAGCUAAUACCGGAUAAUAUUUUGAACCGCAUGGUUCAAAAGUGAAAGACGGUCUUGCUGUCACUUAUAGAUGGAUCCGCGCUGCAUUAGCUAGUUGGUAAGGUAACGGCUUACCAAGGCAACGAUGCAUAGCCGACCUGAGAGGGUGAUCGGCCACACUGGAGCUGAGACACGGUCCAGACUCCUACGGGAGGCAGCAGUAGGGAAUCUUCCGCAAAGGGCGAAAGACUGACGGAGCAACGCCGCGUGAGUGAUGAAGGUCUUCGGAUCGUAAAACUCUGUUAUUAGGGAAGAACAUAUGUGUAAGUAACUGUGCACAUCUUGACGGUACCUAAUCAGAAAGCCACGGCUAACUACGUG
rnacentral:rRNA from 1 species